UUUGGUAGCAGAUAUAAUAAAAAUAAAAUAAAGUAAAUUGAUUCAGAGAUUAACACAGUCCCUGUGCAAGGAUGACACGAAAAUACAUAAAGUACUCCAUAGUUUU
rnacentral:sRNA from 1 species